GAAUACUUAAAAAGCAACUUGUAGUUUUUUGAAUGUAGUAGGAAAAUGAUAAACAUUGUAAUUUCUACUGAUAUAAUCGAUUAUGGACAAGCUAUAAUCGAUUAUCAUAUGUUUUUGAACUACAAUAAUCGAUUAUCAUGAAGCAAUAAUCGAUUAUCACAAGUCUCACUUGAAUAAUCGAUUAUCACUUCAAAUAAUCGAUUAUCACUUUUUGAAUUUUCU
rnacentral:lncRNA from 1 species